rnacentral:lncRNA from 1 species
ACCUAACUCCUGCUGUGCAGCCAGGCCUCACUGUUUUUGUAGAGUCUGCCAAGGGGACAUCAGAUAAUAAAUGCUUGAUCCCUGCCUGCCAGACUCUUAAUACCAGGGGCCCAAAGCAGAGAAACGCCGUGUGGUUUUUGGCAUCAUAUCCUCUGCUUGCUAAAUAACCAAAGGCUUAAACUAUUUGUUUUUUUUUUGUUUUUUUUUUUUUUUUUUUUUUUUUGUCUUUAUUUUUAAGGCUGCAUCCGAGGCAUAUGGAGUUUCCCAGGCUAGGGGUCAAAUUGUAGUUGUGGCUGCUGGCCUGCACCACAGCCAUAGCAACAUGGUAUCCGAGCUACAUUUUCGACCUACACCACAGCUAAGCUCACGGCAACGCUGGAUCCUUAACCCACUGAGCGAGGUCAGGGAUCGAACCUGAGUCCUCAUGGAUACUAGUUGGGUUCGUUAACCUCUGAGCCACAAUGGGAACUCCGAUAAUAGGUUUUUUUGCAUUUGUUUUGCUGUUUUGAGUUUUCAUUAAUUUUAGAAAUGGUGGUAAGUAGAGAGGUGUGCAUUAAAAGUUUUUUAAAAAGCCAGUAUAUAUAAUUUGCUCCUUAAUUUGUUAGUGUUUAGGUGCUAAAAAUGGAAUGAUCUGGUUAAGUAAAUAAGUUAGAGACCUGAUUAUUUAUAGUCAUUCUUAGAAGGUUGGUGUUUUAAGGGACUUUUAUUUUGAAUACUAUGUCCUACCCAAUUUAAUAAUAUGCUUAUUAUAUUUAAGGUGGCUUGAUUUAGUUAAGAAGUACUGAGUUAGGAUGUGGAAGAUCUGGUAUGUGUUAGCUUUGUGGCCUUGUAAAUUCAUUUAGCCUGUCAGAGCUGUUUUGUGAAAGUAUUACCAUCAUAUGCCCUUCUAUUUAUGGUGUUAAAUGACUUGAGUUUCACUCAAUAAAUAAGUUUUCAUUUUUUUGAGGCCCCAAAAUGCAAAAAUACAUUUCCUCUGCACUGUAUUAAAAAUACAUGAAAACAUAGGUUAAAAGGUCAUACAUACUUUCAAAUGUCCUGUAACUCUGGGCUUUAUCUGGUAGAUGGAAGUGACCUAGGGACCUGGGAGUUAGAGCUAGAAAGAGCUCUGUGCUUAGGCCUCAGGAGGCCUACAAAACCCUCUUAAAUUAAUAGGCUUAAUGUUGUAUGUGUGUAUUUUUUCUGGAGAGAUGGCUUAUGUUAUUCAUUAUGUUUUCAGAGAAGCCCAUGUUCCCUGAAAAGAAUGAUCUAUUGAUUUGUCUUUUGAAAAAGAUUUUUUGGAUAAGUUAGGUAGUUCUAUACCAUAUCAUGUUUUUUUUGCUUUAUUUUUAUUACUCAAAUGAAUUUAUCACAUCUGUAGUUGUAUAAUGAUCAUAACAAUCCAAUUUCACAGGAUUGCCGUCCCAUAACCCAAGCACAUCCCCCCGCCCCCAAAAUGUCUCCUCUGGAGACUGUAAGUUUUUCAAUGUCUGUGAGUCAGCAUCUGUUCUGCAAAGAAGUUCAGUCUGUACUUUUUUCAGAUUCCACAUGUCAGUGAAAGCAUUUGGUGUUGGUGUCUCAUUGUAUGGCCGACUUCACUUAGCAUGAUAGUUUCUAGGUCCAUCCAUGUUGCUGAAAAUGCUGGUAUUUCAUUCUUUUUAAUGGUUGGGUAAUAUUCCAUUGUGUAUAUGUACCACAUCUUCUUGAUCCACUCCUCUGUCGAUGGACAUUUAGGUUGUUUCCAUGUCUUGGCUACUGCAAAUAGUGCUGCAAUGAACAUGGGAGUACCUGUGUCUUUGCGAGUCGUCGUUUUUUUCUGGAUAAAUGCCCAGAAGGGGGAUCGCUGGAUCAAAUGGUAGUUCUAUUUUGAGUUUUCUGAGGAAUCUCCCUACUGCUUUCCACAGUGGUUGCACCAAUUUACAGUCCCACCAACAAUGUACCUAGGGUUCCUUUUUCUCCACACCCUCUCCAGCACUUCUUGUUUGUAGACUUUUUGAUGAUGGCCAUUCUGGCUGGUGUAAGGUGGUACCUCAUCGUGGUUUUGAUGUACAUUUCUCUAAUAAUGAGUGAUGUUGAACAUCUUUUCAUGUGUUUUUUGGCCAUCUGUAUGUCUUCUUUGGAGAACUGUCUGUUGAGAUCUUCUGCCCAUUUUUGGAUGGGGUUGUUUGUAUUUUUGGUAUGGAGCUGCAGAAGGUGUUUGUAGGUUUUGGAGAUGAAUCCCUUGUCAGUCGAUUCACUUGCAAAGAUUUUCUCCCAUUCUGUGGGUUGUCUUUGCAUUUUGUUCAGGGUUUCCUUUGCUGUGCAGAAACUUUGAAGUUUGAGUAGGUCCCAUUUGUUUAUUUUUGUUUUUACUGUCAUGACUCUAAGAGGUGGAUCUGAGAAGAUGUUGCUGUCGUUUAUGUCAGAGAGUGUUUGGCCUAUGUUUUCCUCUAAGAGUUUUAUAGUAUCUGGUUUUAUAUCUAGGUCUUGUGUCCAUUUGGAGUUGAUUUUUGUGUAUGGUGUUAGGGAGUGUUCUAAUUUCAUUCUUUUCCCAUGUGGCUGUCCAAUUUUCCCAGCACCACUUAUUGAACAAGCUGUCUUUUCUCCAUUGUAUAUUCUUGCCUCCUUUAUCAUAGAUUAGUUGGUAUACCUUAUCAUGUUAUCAGCAUUUAUCAACACUAAUAUACUUUUCACCUGUGUUACUACUUUUUUUUUUUUUUAGGGCCGCACUUGUGCCAUAUGGCAGUUCCAAGACUGGGGUUGAACUGGAGCUGCAGCUGCCUGCCUACACCACAGCCACAGCCACAGCCACAGCCACACGGGAAUCCUUAAUGGACUGAUCGAGACCAGGGAUCACAUCCACAACCUCAUGGAUGAUAGUUGGAUUCUUAACCCACUGAGCUACAACGGGAACUCUGUUGUGCUAUUUUUUCUUAGGCAGUUUUCCAAUUUAAUUUGUUUUAUUCCUACCCUUAGAGUCUUUAGGUCCUGAUGUCUUUCUAGAUUUAUUGCUCAAGAGAAGAUACUAAAGCAGUAGAUGUAAGGCAAGGUUGUUUUGAAGGACCGGUCUUAAUGUGUUUCUAAGGGAAUAUCUCAUCUGGUCUCCGGGCUUUAGCCUGGUCCCUGUGAACGACUCCCAGAUGUCUCCAGCUUGUGUUCUCUCCUGAGUUCUGGCCCAUUGUCUCCAGGUGACCUCUUCACAGACUACAUUUUCCUCCAAAUGUGUAACUUUUCUCAUAGCCUACUUUUGUCAAAUGUCCCAGUAAUGACAGUUUGCUAAGGCUUAAAGCCUUGGGAUCAUUUACUUCUGGACUGAACUUUGUCAGCAUUUUCCAAAGUGUCACUAGGGCACUCACGGAAAAGCAGUACUAUGAGUGUAUCAGAGACUGAGGAGUCCUAUUGUAAAAGAAACCGGUGACCUUUGCUUAACCCAGGAAACUCCAAACUUACUUGACCGAGGCAUUCUUUUUCUCUGUAAUACUGAUUCCUUGUCCUUAGAAUGGGUGUCUUGUAGAACAUGCUUUGGAAAUGUUGAUAUUGAUUUUAUCUACAUGUGUUUGGGAGCCAUUCCCUCUGAAGCAGAGGCUGUAAUGUGGCUAAACUCCAAGGUAGCAUUCUCAUGGUAGUCUGUAAACAGACUGGAGUCUCUAUGAAGGCUGACAGAAGAAAAAUUGAAGAAUUUAACAGUGAAAUCAAGACAUUAAUUCAUGGAGUUUGCGUUGUGGCUCAGUGGUAACAAACCUGGCUGGUAUCUUUGAGGACUCAAGUUUGAACCCUGGCCUAGCUCAGUGUGUUAAGGAUCUGGCAUUGCCGUGAGCUAUGUGGUAUAGGUUGCAGACGCCGCUCAGAUCCCCUGUCGCUGUGGCUGUGGUGUAGGCCAGCGGCUGUAUCUCCAGUUCCACCCCUAGCCUGGGAACUUCCAUGAGUUCCCAUCAUGGCUCAGUGGUUAACGAACCCAAGUAGUAUCCAUGAGGACGCGGGUUGGAUCCCUAGCCUUGCUCAGUGGUUUAAGGAUCUGGUGUUGCCAUGAGCUGUGGUGUAGGUUGCAAACGUGGCUCGGAUCCCCAUUGCUGUGUCUGUGGCUUGGGCCAGCAGCUCCAAUUCGACCCUAGCCUAGGAACCUCCAUAUGCUGAGGGUGAGGCAAAAGCCAAAAAAAAAAACCAAAAAAAACAAAAAAACAAGAACUUUUCUGGAAAACUCAGUUCUAAUACCUUGCCUCUUAUGGGGAAUGUGAAGACCUUAAGCAUUUAGAAAAGAACAGCUGAAAGAAAAUAGAAUGUGGCUGUCUGGGGUAUGUUCCUUUUUAUUUUCAUGGAGGACAAAGUCUAGGACCGGAGGAAUUGGUCCUAAACUUCAAAAAGAUUUUGAGUAUUUAAGGUAAAUUAGAGUUUUCUAGCACCAGUAGUUAUUUGAGAUGAAAAGUGACAGUAGAACAGCUUGUGGAAUAAUUUCUCAAGAGAGCUUUAAAACAAACAGGUUAUCUGACUUUGAUGUGGAUCUGAUUCCCUAAAGUAGGUACUUUACCUUCAAGAUUUGGAAUUUGUAUAUAUAGUUACUUGUGAAGGAACAUUUAAUUAUUUUGUACUGAGAAUAAAUAGUUAAUAAUUCUCUCAUGAGAGUCCAUUGCACAUCCAUCCUACACUGAAUAGCUGGAAUAUAAAAGGAAAGGGUCUAAGGACUGUGCAUGGAGUAGCAAAAAUGACAAGAACUUGGUGCUUUAUUUACAGGGAAAUGAAACAUGAACCCUACUUUUAGCUUUCACAGUUUGAUUAUUAUUAUUAUUUUUUAAUUUUAGGGCCAUACCCUCAACAUAAUAGAGGUUCCCAGGCUAGGGGUGGAUUCAGAGCUGCAGCUGCAGGCCUACUCCAAGCAACACUGGAUCUGAGCUGCAUCUGUGACCUACACUGCAGCUCACGGCAGUGCCAGAUCCUUAACCCACUGAGUGAGGCUGGGAAUCUAACCCGCGUCCUCAUGAAUACUAGUUGGGUUCAUUACUGCUGAGCCACAGUGGUAACUCCUAGCUAUCAUAGUUUGAGAUCAAAACCUUGUUGAUUUUCUCUUUUCUAGCACAUUAAAUCUCUUCCUGGCUGAGGGAUUGUUUUGACACUACAUAAUCUGGACAACCUACCUCUCUGUAGCACAGUAUAGUGAUUUAAUAGGUGGGUUCUGGAGUCAGACUGCCUAGUUUCACUACCCACUAGCCGAUUACAUAAUCCUUCUCUCUGUGCCUCAGUUUCCUCAGUUGUAAAACAGAGAUCCUUAGAAAAGUGCUUAGGACAGUGCCUGUCACCUAAUAACUCAGUAAUUGUUAAUUCCUGUCAAUAGUAUGAUUUAUUUUUCAAUUUAAUUUUUUAUUUUGUAAUGAAGUAUACUUCACUUGUACAGCAAAGUGAUUCAGUUAUGCAUAUACAAAUAUCCAUUCUUUUUCGGAUUCUUUUUCCAUAUAGAUUAUUACAGAAUAUUGAGUACAGUUCUUUGUGGUAUACAGUAGGUCCUUGUUGAUAUAUAUAGUAGUGUGUAUAUGUCAAUACCAAACUCCUAAUUUAUUGCCCCCCCCCACCUUUCCUUUUUGGUAACCAUAAAUUUGUUUUUGAAAGUCUGUAAGUCUGUUUUUCUGUUUUGUAAAUAAGUUCAUUUGUAUCAUUUUUUAAGGUUGCACAUGUGAGUGAUAUCAUAUGAUAUUUUUCUUUCUUUCUGACUUCACUUAGUGUGAUAAUCUCUUGAUCCAUCCAUUUUGCUGUAAAUGGCAUUGUUUCUUUUCUAUGACCAAGUAAUAUUCCUUUGUGUAUAUGUGCCACAUCUUUUUUUUUUUUGUCUUUUUAGGGCCACACCUCAUGUCAUAUGGAGAUUCCCAGUCUAGGGAUUGAAUUGGAGAUGCAGCUGACAGCCUACACCACAGCCACAGUAACACAGGAUCCAAGCCAUGUCUGUGACCUGCACCACAGCUCAGCACAACACCGGAUCCUUAACCCACUGAGCAAGUCCAGGGAUCGAACCUGGGUCCUCAUGGAUGCUAGUCAGAUUUGUUUUUGCUGAGCCACAACAGCAACUUCUGUACCACAUGUUCUUUAUCCAUUCCUCUGUCAGUGGGCAUUUAGGUUGCUUCCAUGUCUUGGCUAUUGUUAAUAGUACUUCAGUGUACAUUGGGGUUCAUGUAUUUUUUGGAAUUAUGCUUUUCUCCAAAUACAUGCCCAGGAGUGGGAUUGGGAUUUUUAGUUUUUUAAGGAAAUUUCAUACUGUAAAAACAGUGGUUAUACCAGUUUACAUUCCCACUAACAGUGUAAGAAGGUUCCCUUUCUUGACACCCUCUCCAGCAUUUAUUAUUUGUAGACUUUGAUGGCCAUCUUGACCAGUUCGGGGAUACCUCAUUGUAGUUUUGAUUUGCAUUUAUCUAAUAAUUAGCAGUGUUGAGCAUUUUUUUAUUUGCUUUUUAGUCAUUUGUAUGUCUUCUUUGGAGAAACGUCUAUUUAAAUUUUCAGUUUUUGAUCGUGUUGUUUAUUUGAUACUGACCUGCAUGAGCUGUUUGUAUAUUUAGGAGAUUAAUCCCUUGUCAGUUGCUUCAUUUGCAAAUGUUUUCUCCCAUUCUGCGGGUUGUCUUUUUAUUUCGUUUGUGGUUUUCUUUGCUGUGCAAAAGCUUUUAAGUUUAGUUAGGUCCCAUUGGUUUAUUUUAGUUUUUAUUGUCAUUAUUCUAGGAGGUGAAUCAAAUAAGAUAUUGCUGUGAUUUAUGUCAAAGAGUGUUUUGCCUGUUUUCCUCUAGGAGUUUUAUAGUAUCUGGCCUUACAUUUAGGUCUUUAAUCUAUUUUGAGUUUAUUUUUGGGUAUGAUGUUAGAAAAUAUUCUAGGGGAGUUCCCGUCGUGGCGCAGUGGUUAACGAAUCCGACUAGGAACCAUGAGGUUGCGGGUUCGGUCCCUGCCCUUGCUCAGUGGGUUAACGAUCCGGCGUUGCUGUGAGCUGUGGUGUAGGU